ACGCGCACCCAUCUCUCCGUUGCCUUCGUUCGGGUCUCAGACGAAAGCAUCAGGGUUCGUUCCGAUGGCUCUCUCGGGGCGUAUUAGAUCCCCGCUCCCUCUCUUCGGCAGGAUCCUCUCGGCCGAAUCGCCGGCCGGCGUUGUGCUUUCGUUCGGCCUCCGAUCGAAUAUUUGGAAACCCUACCACGGGUCUGAGGACAUUUGCAAGCCAGGCGAAAUCAGUUGAAGCCAAUGUCAAGCCACUUCUUGCUUAAGAGGAGGAACUUGAGCAGACUUUACAAGAUAUUUUUGGACGAGGGAAAACUGCCAGGAUUGAACAGAAGAUAAAUGAUUGCCAAGUUUCUCAUACAGAAACACAUGUUCCAGUACUUCGGCUACGUCUGCUUUUAGUGGGAAUUGUUGCAAAACUAUGAUUCACACACACCGUGGACUGUGGCAACUUUGAAGUUACUGAUAGAACAAAGUUUUGGACCCUGCGUUUUAGAUACUUUAGUAAAUGUGUCUUAUACUCCAGAACGACGGGUGAUCUUGGUUUCAGCUUUCAAAAACCAGUACUCUGUAUUUUUUUUUUAAUCAGUUUUUAUUUGAUGGUUGUCAAUUCUGCUUUUUGGGGGAUGUGGUGACUUGCCAAUUUUAUGCCUUUUGCUUUUACAGAUUGAUCCCAGCAUCCUUGGAGGAUUGGUCGUUGAAUUUGAGAAGAAGGUUUAUGUCGUGUCAACAAAGACGAGGGCCAAGAAAAUGGAAAAUUUCUUAAAGGCCACCGAUCAAUUUUGACAAGCUCUAAUGGCGCCAAAGUGCAACAAACAUUCAUUGCUUCACUUCUCCUGUAUGUUUGUUGUUUCAAGUAAGGUCUACUUAGAGAAAAGCACUCUUUAUCAUGUUUCCUUGCAUGGGCAUAGCCCUGCAAAACAUCUUCAACUUUCGAUGUCUGCUUAGCUGAAUGAUCAAGAAAAUUUAUGAUGCGUAUUCUCGAGGAGA